rnacentral:tRNA from 1 species
GGGGCUGUAGCUCAGUGGUAGAUCGCUUGCCUAGCACGUAUGAGGCACUGGGUUCGAUUCUCAGCACCA